rnacentral:rRNA from 1 species
UUCCAGCUCCAAUAGCGUAUAUUAAAGUUGUUGCAGUUAAAAAGCUCGUAGUUGAAUUUCGGGGUUAGUAGGCUGGUCAUGCCUCCGGUAUGCACUGGUCUCACUGAUUCCUCCUUCCUGAUGAACCGUAAUGCCAUUAAUUUGGUGUUGCGGGGAAUCUGGACUGUUACUUUGAAAAAAUUAGAGUGUUUAAAGCAGGCUAACGCUUGAAUACAUUAGCAUGGAAUAAUGAAAUAGGACGUUUGAUUCUAUUUUGUUGGUUUCUAGGAUCGACGUAAUGAUUAAUAGGGAUAGUUGGGGGCAUUAGUAUUCAAUUGUCAGAGGUGAAAUUCUUGGAUUUAUUGAAGACUAACUACUGCGAAAGCAUUUGCCAAGGAUGUUUUCAUUAAUCAAGAACGAAAGUUAGGGGAUCGAAGACGAUCAGAUACCGUCGUAGUCUUAACCAUAAACUAUGCCAACUAGGGAUCGG